rfam:Glarea lozoyensis ATCC 20868 chromosome Tnknown GLAREA3, whole genome shotgun sequence.
UCAAAUGAUGAUACUCCAUAUUUUACUUUUUCUGGUACCUCUUGAUUUAGUGUUCCCUGCGGGGAACGCGAUGAUCUAAACGGACUUCUGAUA